rnacentral:lncRNA from 1 species
GUCCGAUCUUCCAAUAUGCUUAUGCCUUUUUUCUCCUGAGUAAAACUAGAGUUAACAGGACAAAUAGCUAUGCAAAUGCUUCUUGCCUAUUGCCUGAGGCUGAACAGUUUAAGACAAACUGCCAACCGUCAGAGACUGUACUGUCCAUUUCAAUAAGCAUUUGCUGUACACUUAAUCUGGGCUUCCCGCUGUACUGAGAUGGAAAGGAGAAGGGGAAGGAAAUCAGAAGUAACGAUAAGACUCUGCCUUCCUGGCAUUCACAGACAAGCAAGAAAGACAGAACUCUACCUCCAGCAUGGAAGAAUGACUGGAAUGGAAUCAUUGAGCUUUCAAGUGUGUAAAGUUCACCUGGAUGGUUUUAAGAAGUCUCUUUCUCUUUUUUGUAUUUUUAGAUUUUGGAGUCCUCUAAUACUUGCUUCUUGGACCAAAGUUAAUUCCUUGAUUAGAUCAUUAUCCUUAUGAACCCUUUCUUCACAAUUGCAAUGGCAGAAGAGAUGUUGCCAGGCCUUUCAGGAAGGGAGAGACACCCAGGUGUGACCCAGUAAGUUAGUAUCAGUCCUCACCCCACCCCCUUCCUGUAGGAAAGGAUCUUAUAACCUGGAAAGGGGAGGGAGCCGGAGAGGUGGUCCAUCUAUUCCCGUGCUGUCAGGUCACAUCACAAAGCAGGACACAUGCUCUCCACCCCUGUUUUCUGUUCACAUUGGAGACUUUUUCAACUGGAAAGCGCCUUGGGCCCUGGAGCUAUGAUGUGUAAGGAAGACAGGGUUGGCUGCCGUUAUAAAGCAAACAGAUGGAAAAUGGAAAGGCCCUGCCAUAAUUCUUCAGAACAUGGUUGGUCUCCAGCCGUUACCCUGCAGGUGGGCCUCUCAUUAAAGUCAGCACAAAAAUGCUGCUGCUGGUGAGCUUCCCUGGGAUUGCAAACAUGUUUUCUGUCCAGACACAGCUCUGCCCUUUUGACAACAACAGAAAAGCAGUCUUUGGAACGAGACUUCUGCUUAUCAAGAGAGUUUCCCUGCUUCAGAUCUGUCUGGAAACAGUUUACCUCAGGGUUGGCAGGUCAGCAGGUGGAGUAGCUGCAAGGGCUUUACCUCUCCUGCAUAGUCUGGGGAGACCUCUCACCGUACCCCACAGUAUUUGGGAAUCAAUUUUAUCCUCUGAUGCCUCUGCCUUCCUUAUUACCCCCUUUAUAUCAUUAUCUGUUCCUGACCUCCCUUCAUGAAACGUGUCUACCUGCCUGGUGAAUCUCAAGUACCCAUCAAAGAGCCCAAGAAUCUUGGACCUUGCCA